UACGGGAGGCAGCAGUGGGGAAUAUUGCACAAUGGGCGCAAGCCUGAUGCAGCCAUGCCGCGUGUAUGAAGAAGGCCUUCGGGUUGUAAAGUACUUUCAGUCGUGAGGAAGGUGUUAAGGUUAAUAACCUUAGCAAUUGACGUUAGCGACAGAAGAAGCACCGGCUAACUCCGUGCCAGCAGCCGCGGUAAUACGGAGGGUGCGAGCGUUAAUCGGAAUUACUGGGCGUAAAGGGCACGCAGGCGGUUAAUUAAGUUGGAUGUGAAACUCCCCGGGCUUAACCUGGGAAUGGCAUUCAAGACUGGUUAGCUAGAGUCUUGUAGGAGGGGGUAGAAUUCCAUGUGUAGCGGUGAAAUGCGUAGAGAUGUGGAGGAAUACCGGUGGCGAAGGCGGCCCCUGGACAAAGACUGACGCUCAUGUGCGAAAGCGUGGGGAGCAAACAGGGAUUAGAU
rnacentral:rRNA from 1 species